UGUAUGCACUACUGUACGUCACUUUGGACAAAAGAGUCUGCUAAAUGGCAUAUA
rfam:Salmo salar isolate Sally breed double haploid chromosome ssa12, whole genome shotgun sequence.